rnacentral:lncRNA from 1 species
GAUGGUGAGCCCUUGGGCCACGUCUCCUUCAAGCUAUUUGCAGACAAAGUUCCAGGGACAGCAGAAAACUUUCCUGCUCUGAGCACUGGAAAGAGUUUGGAUAUAAGGAUUCCUCCUUUUGCAGAAUUAUUCCAGGUUUCAUGAGCCAGGGUGGUGAUGGCACACACCAUAAUGGCACUGGUGGCAGGGCCAUCCUGACAUCUCCUUGUCCAUGGCAAAUGCUGGGCCAAACACUAAUGGUUCCCAGAUUUUUAUCUGCACUGCCAAGACUGGAUCCCAAGCAUGUGGUCUUUAGUGAAAGAAGGCAUGAGCAUUGUGGAAGCCAUGAGCAUUUUGGGUCUAGGAACUGCAAGAUCA